GGUGCCACCUGGAUAGUCGUUUAAAGUUCCCUUCCUGUGCGUGCGUGCUCAUGCUUGUCUUGUGUACGUUGGAGAAUAUGUGUUUCCAAUCUGUUUGCGUUAGGGAGAGGUUAAGCUCGGAUUCCCAGGAUUUUGUGUAUUUGGGUAGGGUGGGCGGUAUUUCCGUUUGCAUUAGUUUGUAUAGGAUUGAGAGGUGCUUCGUUUUGAUAUCACUGGAGGCACAGU